GACAUCGGUGCAGCUUUCUGAGUUACAACCCGUGUCAACUGCUAGCGUGUGCAUUUCAAGUUUGCAUUGCAAUCGUAAGGCAAUUAGUGUUGAUAUUGUGGUAUCCGGUAGCGGUCGAAUUUCAUCAUGUAUGCGUUAAACUGUUUUCUGGUGCAAUGGUUGAUAAUAACAUUGGCGUCAGCUCAGCUUGUUCCUUCAGGUGGAUUUCAAAGUAUUCAAGCAGAUUUAGAAAAGGGCGGUAGAGCAUUAUGCCAGUACUGUUAUGGGUGUAUGUUUACAGGUUUAUGUGAAGAUACCUGUCGAACUACCAACAAUCCACUUUGUCAGCUGUGCGACUAUAAACAACAUUGUGAAACGACGUGUGCUACUCUCUGUACUCGUCCUGAUCCAUGUCAAAAUGAUCCAUGUCCUGAAGACAGACAGUGUCAGGAAUUAACCAAUGGAGGAACAGCCUACAGAUGUAUCUGUCCACCAGGAAAUAUUUGUCAAAGGCGACGUCGACAAGAACCAGGUAACCUAGGCGAAUCCAUUUUAACAAGAUUUGUAACAGACCUACCAACAACAACGGGUAGUGACGUUGAGGAUACUACUACAGAACUUAUAGAUACUACCACCGGAGCAGAUACCACGAGGAUAAUGGCUACUAGGCCCACUACUAGACUCACUACCAAGCCCACCACUAGACUUAUUACUAGCACUACGACAGUAAAACCAACUACAAGACGCCAGGUAAUCACCAGACGAACAACCUCGGUAUCAGCUUCAACAACAACCAAUCCGUUUCGAGCGGGAACUGCACCCACUCGAAGAGCUCCGCAAGCAUCUCAAAUUACCAAUAGAUCUCCUAAAGUUAGUGGUGUCACCUCACGGGCAUAUUCUACUAUAGGACUUUCUGGUUAAUUAUAUUACUGAAGGGGAAUGAAGAGUUAGAGAGGGGUGUUUUAGAAGUUGAGAGUAUAACAACAAUUUAAACUUGCAUCAUUUAAUGAUAUUGUACAGUUAUCUUUAUAUGUAGAUGUGUGUUUCGUUCUAUUGUUCAUUGUCAUCGUCCCGUAUUUUAUUUUAUUAUUAAUUAAACUCUAUUCGUCGCCUGUAUAA